rnacentral:tRNA from 3 species
GCCCUGUGGUGUAUAGCACAUAAAAUUGCAAAUCUUAAAGAGCAAAUGACUUCUGCCGGGGCUU